UACAGUUUAGAGAAUUUUGUCAUUUUCUUCUGUGUCAUUAAUGACACACAUGUAAAACAAAUCUCUCUCCCUCAUCCAAAUCUAAGGAUAUAUUUAUAAGGCUGAAAAUGUCAGACUGGGAGCCAGAGAAUGAAGGGGAGAGUCUUCAAUGGGUGUGCCCUGGCACUCCCCAGCUGGCCUGGUCCCUGUUCCCACGGUGACUGCCUCAGCUACCCUGGGGGCAUAAAAUGCUCUCCAGAGCCCAGAGAAAGUUUCCCAGGUGAAAUGUAUGCCAAUUGCCCAACAGCUCACUGAUUACAGAAGUCCUUCCCUGAGAGCUUUUCAUUCCUUUUGUGUAAGUCUUUUCUUCCCCUCUUAAAAAAAGAAAGUACCCCUAGGAGAGGCCAUCUACCAAGACUGAUGCGCAAUUUGCACCUCAUUGAGAAUGAGUUUAUCUGCUUCUGUCUCCAGAACAGGAUUAAACAAGAGGCAAAGGCCCCAGAGGCACCUGCAAUGGAGCAGAGCAUAAGGACCAGAGGAAGACAUUAGAAGCCAGAGGCAUGGAAAUGAAAACUUUGCUUAAAUCACUCUUUUGCCUGAGGUUAAGCAAUUUUCCCUGACACUAGCCUAUUGUGGUAGGAGUGGAAAGGCAGGAUGUGUGAGGCAAGAGAGGAUCCACGUGAUGCAAACACACUGAGAGGCCCUAGGGUUGGGCCCUGAGUGGAUGACUGUCCAGAUCACCAAAGACCUUCCUGCCCUUCAAUGUUUCUUCCACCUCUUUUGCACCACUGUCCGUCCUUCAUGGAAAGAGAUCAGAUGGUGCCUCACUCUUCCACAUGGAGUAUCAUGAAACCUUACAUUGUGCCAAAGGUAUUAUUCACACCCAGCUGGGGCCAUUUUUCAAGAUUCUCCACCCAGGCAUGGGGAAGAUUGAGAAUCAGUAACUCAGCCUGCUGGACAAAAAAUAAUAAUAUGAACGGAAAGGAAGUAUCGCCACAUUCUAAAUAAACGUGGCAAAAAAUCAGCUUUUUAAUCUUUCU
rnacentral:lncRNA from 1 species